AACGAACGCUGGCGGCAUGCCUAACACAUGCAAGUCGAACGACACCUCCGGGUCUAGUGGCGCACGGGUGCGUAACGCGUGGGAACCUGCCCUUAGGUACCGAAUAACUCCCUGUAGGGGGUGCUAAUACCGGAUAAUGUCCUCGGACCAAAGAUUUAUCGCCUUUGGAUGGGCGCGAGUUGGUUUAGCUGGUUGGUAGGGGAAAAGCCUAUCAAGGCAACGUUCCUUAGCUGGUUUGAGAGGAAGAUCAGCCACACUGGGGCUAAGACACAGUCCAGAAUCCUACGCAAGGGAGGAGAGGGUGAUACAGCACUACGGGGUAAGUCCUGAACCAGCUAUGCCGGGUAAGCCAUGAUGUCCGUAGAGAAGUGAAGCUCUUUUACACGGGGUGAUAAUGACGGUACCGGGAGAAUAAGCACCGGCUAACUCCGUG
rnacentral:rRNA from 1 species